rnacentral:rRNA from 1 species
AGUGAACGCUGGCGGUAUGCCUAACACAUGCAAGUCGAACGGCAGCACAGUAAUUUCUUGCUCUUACGGGUUGGCAGUGGCGUACGUGUGAGGAAUAUAUCCGAAUCUUCUUUUUCGUGUGGGAUAACGUAGGUAAACUUACUCUAAUACCGCAUACCAUCUUGGGUGGAAAGCAUGGGAUCUUCUGACCUUGCGCGAUUGAAUUAGCCGCUUUUGGAUUUGCUAGUUGGCGGGGUAAUGGCCCACCAAGUCGACGAUCUGUAGCUUGUCUGAGAGACUGAUCAGCCACACGGGAGCUGAGACACGGUCCAGGGUACUACGGGACGCAGCAGUGGCGAAUAUUAGACAAUGGGCGCGAGCAUGGUCCAGCCAUACCGAGUCGGUGACGAAGGCCUUGGGGUUGUAAAGACCUUUUUUUGGGAAAGAAAAGCAGCAGGUUAAUACCAAGCUGUUCUGACGGUAACCAAUGAAUAAGCACCGGCUAACUUCGUG